rnacentral:rRNA from 1 species
CCUACGGGUGGCAGCAGUAGGGAAUAUUGGACAAUGGGCGCAAGCCUGAUCCAGCCAUCCCGCGUGAAGGAUUAAGGCCCUCUGGGUUGUAAACUUCUUUUCUUUGGGAAUAAAAACUCCGAUUCAUCGGAUCUUGAAGGUACCAGAGGAAUAAGCACCGGCUAACUCCGUGCCAGCAGCCGCGGUAAUACGGAGGGUGCAAGCGUUAUCGGGAUUCACUGGGGCUAAAGGGUGCGUAUAUGUCUGUGUUGAAAGCCCGGAGCUCAACUCCGGAACUGCCAUUGAUACUGCUUAGCUUGAGUCAGGUCGAGGUGGAUGGAAUAUUACAUGUAGCGGUGAAAUGCUUAGAUAUGUAAUAGAACACCGAUUGCGAAGGCAGUUCACUAGGCCUGUAUUGACACUGAGGCACGAAAGCGUGGGGAUCAAACAGGAUUAGAUACCCCUGUAGUC